rnacentral:tRNA from 2 species
GCGGCGGUGGUGGAAUUGGUAGACACGCCAGCUUGAGGUGCUGGUGCUCGAAAGGGUAUGGAAGUUCAAGUCUUCUUCGCCGCA